rnacentral:rRNA from 1 species
UACGUAGGGUGCGAGCGUUGUCCGGAAUCAUUGGGCGUAAAGCGCGUGUAGGCGGUUCGGUAAGUCUGCUGUGAAAGUCCAGGGCUCAACCCUGGGAUGCCGGUGGAUACUGUCGGACUAGAGUACGGAAGAGGCGAGUGGAAUUCCCGGUGUAGCGGUGAAAUGCGCAGAUAUCGGGAGGAACACCAAUUGCGAAGGCAGCUCGCUGGGACGUUACUGACGCUGAGACGCGAAAGCGUGGGGAGCAAACAGGAU